rnacentral:miRNA from 1 species
CUUCCGGCCAUCGAGAUUGUAUGGUCUCGAUGACCGGAAGGAAUCCCUUCCGGUCAUCAAGGUCUUGAUGACGGAAGGAAUCCCUUCCGGCCAUCGAGAUUGUAUGGUCUCGAUGACCGGAAG